rnacentral:miRNA from 1 species
UCAACAAUAUCCUGGUGCUGA